rnacentral:rRNA from 1 species
AGUGAACGCUGGCGGUAGGCCUAACACAUGCAAGUCGAACGGCAGCACAGGAGAGCUUGCUCUCUGGGUGGCGAGUGGCGGACGGGUGAGGAAUACAUCGGAAUCUACUUUUUCGUGGGGGAUAACGGAGGGAAACUUACGCUAAUACCGCAUACGACAUACGGGUGAAAGCAGGGGAUCUUCGGACCUUGCGCGAUUGAAUGAGCCGAUGUCGGAUUAGCUAGUUGGCGGGGUAAAGGCCCACCAAGGCGACGAUCCGUAGCUGGUCUGAGAGGAUGAUCAGCCACACUGGAACUGAGACACGGUCCAGACUCCUACGGGGGGCAGCAGUGGGGAAUAUUGGACAAUGGGCGCAAGCCUGAUCCAGCCAUACCGCGUGGGUGAAGAAGGCCUUCGGGUUGUAAAGCCCUUUUGUUGGGAAAGAAAUCCAGCUGGCUAAUACCCGGUUGGGAUGACGGUACCCAAAGAAUAAGCACCGGCUAACUUCGUGCCAGCCGCCGCCGUAA